UACAGAGGUCCCAAGCGUUGUUCGGAUUCAUUGGGCGUAAAGGGUGCGUAGGCGGCGCGGUAAGUCGGGUGUGAAAUCUCGGAGCUUAACUCCGAAACUGCAUUCGAUACUGCCGUGCUUGAGGACUGGAGAGGAGACUGGAAUUUACGGUGUAGCGGUGAAAUGCGUAGAUAUCUGGAGGAACACCGGUGGCGAAGGCGGCAUCCUGGACCGAUACUGACGCUGAGGAGCGAAAGCCAGGGGAGCAAACGGG
rnacentral:rRNA from 1 species